rnacentral:misc_RNA from 1 species
GAUGAAGAACGCAGCGAAAUGCGAUACGUAAUGUGAAUUGCAGAAUUCAGUGAAUCAUCGAGUCUUUGAACGCACAUUGCGCCCCCUGGUAUUCCGGGGGGCAUGCCUGUCCGAGCGUCAUUGCUGCCCUCAAGCACGGCUUGUGUGUUGGGCCUCCGUCCUCCUCCCGGGGGACGGGCCCGAAAGGUAGCGGCGGCACCGCGUCCGGUCCUCGAGCGUAUGGGGCUUCGUCACCCGCUCUUGUAGGCCCGGCCGGCGCUUGCCGACACAUCAAUCUUUUUUCCAGGUUGACCUCGGAUCAGGUAGGGAUACCCGCUGAACUUAAGCAUAUCAAAAGCGGAGGA